rnacentral:rRNA from 1 species
UACGUAGGGGCUAGCGUUAUCCGGAAUUACUGGGCGUAAAGGGUGCGUAGGUGGUUUCUUAAGUCAGAGGUGAAAGGCUAUGGCUCAACCGUAGUAAGCCUUUGAAACUGGGAAACUUGAGUGCAGGAGAGGAGAGUGGAAUUCCUAGUGUAGCGGUGAAAUGCGUAGAUAUUAGGAGGAACACCAGUUGCGAAGGCGGCUCUCUGGACUGUAACUGACACUGAGGCACGAAAGCGUGGGGAGCAAACAGGAUUAGAUACCCUGGUAGUCCCUGA